UGGGCAGACGAAUCCAGGAAUGCAGAGACCCACGUGGGCUUCACGGGCCCCUUGACACCACCUGUCCAGCCGCUGCUGAGAGGACACUUCCAAUCCGGCAACGUUUGCUCGGCCCCUGUCUCGCAGGAUUGCUGUGGCCCGAGAGAGGGCCUGGAUGGCUCAGCGAUGCCGGGACCCAGGCCAGAGGUGGCCGUGAGCCUCUCGGCGGGGCAGGGCCUGAUUUCCAAGAAGAUUUCAUGCUGCCAGGAUGUCAUCAGCCACCCCCAUGGCCACGUAGUGGGCAGGGAGCUGGGGCCGCAUGGUAGGUCCCCAUGGCCACGUAGUGGGCAGGGAUCUGGGGCCGCAUGGUAGGUCCCCAUGGCCACGUAGUGGGCAGGGAUCUGGGGCCGCAUGGUAGGUCCCCAUGGCCACGUAGUGGGCAGGGAGCUGGGGCCGCAUGGUAGGUCCCCAUGGCCACAUAGUGGGCAGGGAGCUGGGGCCACAUGGUAGGUCCCAUGUCCCUGGAGGGACCACGGCCUCACCCACCCACGUGCCCAGCCCCCGGGGAAGAAGUCCCAGAAGGCAGGCUUCAGUGAGGCCAUUGCAGCCCCAGGCUGAGUUUCAACAGGCUUGCGGGGGACGUUUCUAGCAGGGUCCAGAGGUCAUGUUCUUGAGCACGCCGGAACCACACCCUGCCCCUGAGCAAACCGGGCUUCCUCAAAAAUCUCAAGUCAAUGCAAUGAAACCUCAGUGUCUGUUGAUUCCGAAAUUUUUGAAAUCCGUGCACAUGAGCACUUU